rnacentral:tRNA from 1 species
GUUUCUAUAGUUGAAUAACAACAGUGGUUUUUCGUAUCACAGGUUUAGGUUAAAGUCCUAAUAGGAACC